rnacentral:lncRNA from 1 species
CCUGUUGAAAACCUUUAUGCCUCUUGAUACUAUUGUUCUUUUGUGAAACCUUCUAUACUGUGGACACUGUACUUUCACCUAUAUAUAUAUAUAUAUAUAUAUAUAUAUAUAUAUAUAUAUAUAUAUAUAUAUAUGUUAUAUCCGAUCAUUUUCUAGGUAAUAAAUCUUAUUAUGCUGGUGGUAUGAUAUUAUUUGUGAGUAUUAGAUCGAUAUGGAGUUCAAGAUAAUAGCUCUCCGAGUUGCCUGAUAUUUGUAAGCCAUGAUGCAGGUGAUGCCUUCAUAAUAACUAUGGAUUUUAUAGGAAUAGUUGUGAGAAGUAGUCAUUCUAUAUACACAUUUACCAUCUUACCUUUCCUAAACACUAUUUCUUAUGCUUCAUGUGUGUUCAGGAAGGCAGCUAAUGGAGCCCAAAGUGGUAGUGCAAUCACAUACUGUCUUCAAAGAAUGGGUUCUUCUUCAAAUAUUAUUUUAGAUUAUCAUGUCAGCUAAUUUAGUUAGUAAAAUUUUAAUGUUUAUCAUAAGAUCAUCAAUUUAUCAUAUCAUAAUUUUAUUUUUUUUAAAUAUAAUAUUUAUAUAAAAAAUAUAAAUACUAUUAUAUUGCAAGAGAAUGAAAGUAAAUGUUAAGAUAAUGAGAGAGUAAUGCAUAAGAUUAUUUUCUCAAUAUUCUUGCAAUAAAAAUAUUUUAAUAUUUUUGAAAAAAUAAAUAAAUAUCUUUAAUAUAAAUAAAUGAAAGCAUUUACCAAUUACCACUCUUUACUGCUCAACGCCUAAAUGACGUUCACCGCACAAUUCUAUAUUAGUAUCGUAUCAUUCACCCCCCCUCUCGUUAUCUUUCCACAAAGCGGUUUCCUCGGCCCCCGUCUCCUCCAAUUUCCGUACCCACCUACGCGGGGACGCAUCGCCUGCGACGGUCUCAAGCCCACCGAUCGAUUCUCCGAGGAUUCGUCUCGAGGAACGCGAGACGAUCUCUCGAGUUCAGUUGUCGGGUAAUCCCCGUUCUUUCUCUUUUGUUUCCGAUCUCGACCUAGGUUUUUGCUCAAUACAGAUCCAGUGGACCUGUUCGUCUUUCGUGCGUUGGACUCUUCGGAUCUGCUGAUUCUAGUACGGUCUGUUCCUUUGAUCGGCCACUGGGUGCUUCACUUGUACGUUUCAUCUAAUUAUUGUUUACGGUAGUAGAUCUAGGGUUUCGUUUCUUCUGUUGGUCUAGGGUUUAUUGAUUGAUGCAAUAAGUGCAGCGGAAUUUAGUAGAUCGACAUGGAUUUGGUGGUAGGGAUGAGCGGAAGAGUGAGGUGUCUUGAAAGAGCGAAAAUUAGGGUGAUGACUUGUUGUCGAUGCCUUGGUGUUUCGUUGAGUACUACUGUAUCUUGGUAUCAGUAUGGACAAGAAUUAAGUAAAGAUAUCGUCAAGUCUUCCUCAUGCAAUUGCCUGAGACCUUGUUCUUUUGCUGUAUGACUUUAUUGUGGCUCUGAUAUAUUUACAUCCAUCUUAACUUACUGGUAAUUUGGUGUAGGAAGGUGUCUCCGUCAUGAAAUUAAAUUUGUCACUUACAUUCCUUUUGGAAUGUCUCUGAUGCAUGCUACUAGAAGAUAGAAUUUUGGAAUAGUCAUCUUGAUUUUCUCCGAAGACAAGUUUUUGUAUCUUCACGGUAGAUGCAGUUUUUUUUUAAAUUUUAUUCUUUCCCCUUGUCUGUGAUUGUUUAUGUUCUAAAUAUAAGUUUGAUUUUCUGUGUAAUCAACAUGUUAGUUUAUUUGCAUAGCAGCAUUCUUUUUAAUGCAUUUGGAACUAAUUAUAUAACAACUAGAUGGUAUUGUCAUUUGCAUCAAAAAUUUAGUUUGUGGCCAUUUUUUGUAUGCAUUCUUAUUUUUGGUUCUACAAGAUUGUUAGCUUAAAGAUUAAUUUGCACAAGAAAGCUAUAAACUUGGAUAUUUUGGAGAUAGGGAUAGCCCUUUAGGACUUUGAGUCUUGAGAUGAUAUACCCAGGAAAUUGUCUUACUAAUUGACCUUGUCCUGAAAAUAACUCCUCACUUGUGAAACUUCCAUUUUUUUUAUUUUUUUUCAAAAAUCAUCAAGAAAAAACAAAAGUCUAAUGCUGGUCAUAUGUCUUUCUCGAUCUGUAUUUUAUGUAUGUAUUUUUCAGUAUCCAAUUACUUUUUCAUUCACUUUUACAAUUUUCUUUUCUUGUGUACUGUUCCUUUUGCUUAUCUUGAUGAUAUUACUUGAUAUGGGCAUAGCAUCAGAUGUUGCUUGAUUGUACAAUAUUUUACAAAUAUUGGAUACUUGAACCCUUUCAAACAUUUUCAUACUUUUCGUAUUAUAAAAGAAUAAGUUUUGUACCGAUUUCUUACUUUAGUGUUUCAUAGCAUAAGGUUCAUUAGUACUACUGAUGAAUAUUAAACAUGUUAAAUAUGUAGGCACCUGUGAUAGGAUGAUUGCUAUUCGGAAAGGCAAUGUGUGGGUAUAAGUAGCCUAUACUUGCCAAAAUGAAUUCUUUCUUAAAUUAAUCUGCAUUGGUUGCAGAUGCUCUUUUUGAUAUAUUCCACAAUAUAUUUUGGCUGCUAUAAAUCUAUAUUCUGGAUUUUAGUCAUAACAGUUUUGAAAUCCUUCGGAGUUGAACCAUUAAUUUCAAGAUGUUCUGUUGAUCAUGAACUUCUUUACUCCAAUCUUUCUUUUUUGGAAUUUCUCAUCAGUGAUCUUGGUUAUUGUGAGUCCCUUGGUGGUAUCUGUUGUUUUACUUGUCAGAAAGUUUGGCUUGGAGACAUUAAUAAAUACUUUUUUAAGCAGUUAAAUUGCUAAAACACAAACUUUCUGUUCUUCUCGUUUCUGACUGUGGCUUUCUAUGUGAUAUUGUUUUCUAGUGCCUAAUUAUUGUUUGUUUAAUUCUUAUUUCUCCCUUUUUAUGCCCAGGUAACUUCUGAAGGUUAUUUUGAUUAAAAUUCUUCAUCAGUUCCUAUUCGUGUGGGUUAAGAUGGUAAAGUUGACAAUGAUAGCACGUGUUACCGAUGGCCUACCUUUAGCAGAAGGAUUGGAUGAUGGUCGUGACCAGAAAGAUGCUGACUUCUAUAAGCAGCAAGCAAAGCUUUUAUUUAAAAGUCUCUCAAAGGGUCACUAUGAGGCUUCUAGAAUGUCAAUCGAGACUGGUCCAUACUUUUUCCAGUAUCCUAUGUCUGGUUGUUUUUCUUGAAAGUGAUUCGGUACUUGGGCAUGUAGUUCUUGUUAACCAAGCUUACAUUGCAUGGGAAUGAUGAUAAUGAAAAAUGUGGUCAACAAAUCAAAUAUUUCAGGUUAUCCAAUUUUUACAUCAACAUGAAAGGUUUUUAAGCUUUUCCAUCUUGAAAAUUCUUUUGUAGGACUGACAUAAUCCAGUAGUAGGUGGCUGUUUUCUUUCUUGAGAGAUAAUUUCCUUCGGAACUGAUUUAUGUACUUCAAUUCUUUGUGCAACUGUUAUUUAAUGAAGAUUUAGCCAAACCCCAAAUAUUCGGGACAUUAUGGCUUCUAGUUAUUGUUGUUGUAUCCUGUGAAAGAAAUUUUGCUGUCAUUUGAAUAUACAACAUAUUCAAUUGAUCUGACCUUAUUUGCUGUACCACUUUCAUUGUAUUGUAACGAUCAGGACUUCUGAAGAUUUUUUUAACGAAUAAUUUUCUGCUGUCAACUGAUAAUACAUCAUAUUCAAUUGGUCUGAUCCCUUUAAUUUUUGAAACCAAAAGAGCUUUUCCACUAUCAUUGUAGGGAUCACAACUUUUAAAGAAUAAAUUUCUGCAGUUCUCCAUGGUAAUGAAGGUAGUUUGAUUUUGUUGAACUAAUAAUUGAUUCUUUUCUGUUUUUAUAAGAUAGUUAUAUUCUUGUUGCACUUUGAAGUGUGGUACUUUUUGCUUUAUUUCUCCUUGACUCAGCUGCUUAGCUAUAUUAUUGAGGGCCGUGUUUGUUACCUGACAAUGUGUGAUCGAUCUUAUCCAAAGAAGCUUGCUUUCCAAUACUUGGAGGACCUCAAGAAUGAGUUUGAGAGGGUCAAUGGAGGUCAAAUUGAAACUGCUGCAAGACCAUAUGCUUUUAUCAAAUUUGGUACGUUUUCUUAUGUAACUGUAGUUUGUCCUCUGUAAUUUGUUAAUUGUAUUUAAAUUCUGAUGUUUUGUUGCUUUGUCUUUUGUGCUUAUGUAGAUACUUUUAUACAGAAAACCAAGAAACUUUAUUUGGAUACCCACACUCAACGUAAUAUUGCAAAGCUUAAUGAUGAACUUUAUGAAGUCCACCAAAUAAUGACUCGCAAUGUUCAGGAGGUUCUUGGUGUUGGUGAAAAGUUAGACCGUAAGUUAACCCUACUCUUUUUUGCCUAUGAUAUAUAUUAGUACUUAGUGACAAAUGGAGAUGUUGUACUAAAAAUUACUGAUUCCUAUGCUGUUGUUCUAGCAUUUUGCAAAAGGUUUAUUAGAAGAUUGAAAAAUCAACUUUGCAUCAACUUUAAACCCAUCUGUGAACUUUUAAACUGCCCUUUGUAAUCUAACCUUAAGAAAUGAACCAUCAAAAUCUUUCCCCAACUUUUUUUAUCAUUUUGUGCAAUUAGAAUAAUCUUUGAUUGGUUUUUAUUUAAAUAAAAAAGAAAAAUUGGAUAUUUUCUCCUGAGUAGACCUGUGUCAAAUUACAUAUAAGCAUUAUUUUUCCUGUUCCAAGUACUCAUGAAGUACCUGUUUUUAGGUUCAAUGACUGAGACUCUGAUUUUGCAGAAGAGGGUGCAAAUCUUGGGCUGAAUAGUGACUGUUGGUUAAGCAUGAACUUUUGUUUGAACAAGCAGAUCAAGGUUUCUGGUUUUGUAGGAAGAUAGAAUGAAAUUUGAGUGUAUUCACAAACCAUGAUUCCAUAACUCAUUUUAGCUGCACAAAUUAUUAUAUUCUAAAGCUGAAAUUAGUCAAGGAUUAAGAAUGAAGAUGAUCUAAGCAUGAGAAUGAUAUUUACUCAAUCAUUGUGUUCAUUGUCCAUUGUUUUAUUUUGGAAACAUAGGGUAAGCACAAUGCUUGUACAGAAUGAUGUACUUUCUCUAGUUGCUUUUUAAAUUGGCAUUCACCAUCAUGAGUAUUUUAUUGUCAAUCAAUAACAUUUAAACUCAUUCAUGGCCUUCUGUUUUUACUGGUUCAUCACAAUGUGUUUUUAUAAUAAUGAGACGUAUUUUUGAAGUUCAUUUUGCAAAAGAGAGUAAUAUAUACUUUAAAAUUUUUGAGGCAACUUGUUACGUAGAAGGAAUUAUCUUAAAGGUUACUUGUUAUGUACUUCCUGAUAUUUUUGAUGUUAACUUGGCAGAGGUCAGUGAAUUGUCAAGCAGGUUGACAUCUGAGUCUCGAAUCUAUGCUGACAAGGCGAAAGAUUUAAAUCGGCAGGUAAGCAUGUAGUCAGAUAUUUUCACUAGUUUUGUUUUGUAUUCUAUUUGCUCAUGUAGAUACAUUUGGAAUUUUUGCAAGUUUUAGCUGCAUGCCUCAUGUCUAGAAACUUGUCUUGUCCCAUUAAUUAGAAUAGAUACCUUCUGAUAAUUUCAUUUCUAAACAUCAUGGUCAACCUUUAUGAGGCCGUUGCAAUGCAAAACUGCUUUAGCAGAAUAUUAUAUAUUGCCUACUAAGCUCUUCUUCUCCAAAUUGAUACUGAAUCUAAAUUGGGCAAUGUGGGCAAAACAAGUGUAUCUAAAUUGCAAUAUUACAAAAGGUAUUAUCGCAUCAGUGCUAAUGUGUGUCCUGAGGCCUUUGCAUAUGCAAUUACAUAACCAAAACAAAAAAAAAACAUAACCACAUUUUAUAGGACCUUUGGCCUGUAUAAGAUAUAUUUCUUAAUUUUUAUGCAUGCAUUUUUAAAUGCUUGGUUUGUAUUGCUGCCACUGGAUUAGAAUGAACAUUGUCUUACCCACACAGUGAGUUAUAAGCGGGUUCAGUUGGAAAUACAGUGUUGGUCAAUCAUGCAGGAUUUUGAAUUCAGUUUGGCCUUUAUUAUACCAUACGACCCAAUCUCAUUCCUAGGAUGUAGUGACUGUGUCCGAGACAUGGUGACAUGUGCCGUGUGAGGGUAUUCUGCCACACCCUUUUUUAUUGUGCAAGAGCAGACAAUCAACUCCAUGAAGAUCUGUAUCACCUCAUUCGACCAAGCUGAUAGCUGACAGCUGUAUAUUAAUAAAGCAGUGUUUGAUCCUGGCAGAUAAAAAGAAUCUAGGGCUGUUAUUCUAAUAAACUGAAGUCAUACAGGAUUCAAAAUAAAACAAAGAAGAAAAAUGACACUAGGAAUGAGAGGUGGCGGAAAGUUUAGGUACAGGUCCAACCAGCCUGAAAGCAAUUGUAACUUGUAAAUCUAAGUACUCGAAUAUUAGAUGGGGAUUCCCGGUUAUAAAUUACAAUAGAUCACUUGGUUAACGGUUAAUAUCUCGGGCCCACAUGGUUUAAGGUCCAUUAUAUGUAAGUUAUUGGAUUAGGAGGUCUAUUGAGGCGGCCUGUGGAAAUGAUUAUUCCGUACGUUUGUUCCUAAAAAUGUGACUGGGCAUUGUAUUUGCAAUGCUUGAUUGUAAUGUUUUCUUCAAUCAUAUUUUGAUUGAAGAUACCUGGAGCCCAAACAACAUGUGGUGGUUUAUUUGAGACCUUUUACCACACACAUCUAUCAACAGGAGUCGCAUUGGUGAAAAACGAAAGCUGAGAGAUGUCCCCAAGCGUUAGCAAAAUCUACAUGUGCAUGAAACAUAAAUCUAUACAUUUGUUUCAUACAUAUAAAUACAUGUAUUUCAAAUAUAUGGAUUAUAUGCACGAAACAGUAAGUGGUAGAAGUUGCACCCCUUGAACUGAUACUGGCAGAGACUUUAUUGAUAAUAAUGGGCACAUGUGAUGUCAACUGAAGAAUGAAGAGGGAGGAUGCUGGUUAGGCUUUGACAAAUAUGAAUUCCUCUCGGGCAAUGUUGUGGUUGUAAUCUGUACCUGAUUCUAUGAUUUGUGACAUUAUACCCACUGAAUCUGUAUCCUACUCAUUUGCAGGCUUUGAUUCGAAAAUGGGCGCCUGUUGCCAUUGUGCUUGGAGUAGUCAUGCUUCUCUUUUGGGUCAGAAAGAAGAUAUGGUGAGUCAGCGGAUCGAACAGUCAUAUUCUCUCUUCAUUAUGUUGUCAGGUGCGUGGAGUCGGCCUUGUAGAUAUCCAGCUCGGCCACAAGACGUCAAAACGAGCCUCCUCUGGCCAUACAACCACAGCUGGGAUGCACUCGUUUUCUUAUCAUAAGAACAUAUAUGAGCCACAAGAAUCCCUAAGACUUCAACCCAACGUUUCCCGGCUAUGCGAUAUUGGGACUGUUGAGCCUGAACGCUACAGCAUUAUUAUUACUUCAUUCAUUUUUUUCGGACAUUGCACAAAAUCUUAAUGUUCCAUUAGCUGAUUCAUGAACUAGUUUUGAAAAAAGCAGCAGACGUCGCACUUGUUUUAGCUUGAGAAUAAAUAUCAUCCUUAGAACUCUCUUUUCUAUCAAUCUAAAUCCAAAAUAUAAUAUUCAAUCAUGUAUGUCGUGUGUCAUAUGUAUGUAUGUAUGUAUGUAUGAUUAUUUUAUAUAAUCAUGUCAAAAGAUUGGCUAAGAUAAAUUGUCAUUCGCACAUGACACCUGAUCAAGUUACGAUCUAUGUUUAUGUUUGGAUCGGACGGAGAACGAUCUGUUCAACCGACAAACUGUGUUCUGAACUCGGGACAAGCAAUUGGCCUCACAGGCCUCGACAAUAAUAGUUUUAUUUCAGGCAUUGUAGUCUUUUAACUACAUGACGUGCAAUAAUAGUAUGGUGAUGAAACCAUGUAGCGAAGACUUAGCUGGUCUCAGUCUUUGUGAAUCUGUAUUUCAAGUACAAUCCAAGAACAAACAGCACCAGGAAAGCGACAGCCACGUUCAUCAGCAAUGUCUUUCUCGCUUGACUCAGCCCCAUGUAGAUGCUACUCAUGCCGCCACUUCGAUCACCGCGAUCGUCGGCGGUCAUCUUCUUUGGGUUUGCCGGCUGCGCCGCUUUCGUUUCAUCGACCGAUUUAUUAUCCUCAAUUUCCUGUUUGUUAGCAGCCUUCUCCUUGGACUGCGGCUCCCUUGCAUCUGCCGGUUGAGGCAGAGCUCCAUUUCCUCUGACGACCAUCUUCGGGAUAUGCACUUGAAGCAUCUCAUCGUCAAACUUGGCUCGGACAUCAUUCACUUUGCAGUUAUCUGGCAACUGGAAGUCCUUCCAGAACCGGCUCCACUGCUUGCCAUCCAGCGGCCGCUCGCCGCUGGUCCUCAGCGUGCCAUGGCUGUCUAUCUGCACCCUCACUUGGUCGCUCUUGAAUCCUGCAACAUCAACACCAAGCUCAAGACUAAGAAACCAAGUGCACACUCAUUGUCCUGAAUGAGGAGGAAAGCUUGCCAGGGAGAUGAAUGAGAAUGUCGUCGGAGGUUUCUCCUCGAACCCAGUCGAAGACGGGAUUCAAAUCCGUGUAGGAGCGGUCAGCAGGUGCUGUCUGCGGCUUGGUGUCCAUUUCCUGCCCUCUCGGUUUGCAGGGCUGCCGUGAACGAGUUGGAUGACUGGAGAUGGAAGACAUGGCUACCUCCUUUAUAGAGCUGUUGCUUGGGUUGGUUAACAAGGGAAGAUUGGCUUAACAGGUGAGGGAUUCCCUUCUGGCCUCCAUGGGUGGGCAAAAGGAUGCCUUCUUUAGCUCACACUCUUCUUUUCUUGUUUGGCUUACCUGACAUAAUACUUUACUUCUUGUGAGAAUGUAAGCAUUCUUGUUCAACUGAUCAGUAGGCUUUAAACAAAUCAUAGAUCUUUUGGAUAUGUACUCCUCAGAACAUCCUUCAACUUUCAAUGUGAGAUUAAUCAGGAUAUAAUACCUGCAUAAAUUAGAAAUGGUUGUAUCCAACUAGAUCUAAUCCAAUUGAUGAGCUAAAGAGUCCAUCAUCAUCUGGUUGGGUCAAGAACCACAUCUCUAGUAGGCCAGUUUGAAUGGAUCCAGGUUUAGCUUUGAAUCAUAUACUUAGCUUUGGUGUCUGGGAAUUAAACCUAUAUCAAGUUUUAAUUUUUCCUAAUAGCAAUAUAUGGAUGUUUUCUAAUGUCUGGAGGUGUGCAUAGAACAUUUUAAACUUAAUCAACAAGAAAUAUGAGUUAACUUUUGUUCUCUUUUUGUUGUUUGGAAGGAAAAAAAAGAAAAAAAAAGAAUCUAUUUCUUUUGCAUUAUUCAAGAGAAAGUAGGCACUUAAAACAAGAGGGAAAUAGGAUUGGAGGUUUCCAUGUCAAAACAAGCUUUUAGGUGGAAUGAUAGUGAGCAAAAAAGACAGAGAUUCCCUACAAUGCAAUUGGUCAUAUUUGAUGGCAAUGAAUGUGACAUUAGAUUUGGGACAAGAUUAAUCACUAUCUCCAUCUUUUGCAUGUGUGCUCUUCUUAGAUUGAUAGCUUUUAAAUUGUGGCUCUCUCUUCCUCUAUAUAGCACUUGCUUGUUUGUAGUUUCUUUUUCUACUACUUGUAGGCCUACACCACUUUGCCCAUGGCAGAAGGUUACCAUGAGAUCCCAAAGCAAAACGAUACUUAGCGUUUUGAGCCCACCAAAAGAAGAGCACAAUUAUCCUUAGUAGACAACCUUAGCAGAAGGUUUAAUGGAGGCAAGCAUAUAUAUAUAUAAAUGGCUUCCAUCUUUAUGCAUGCAUUGAUCCUAACCAUGGCGCCUCGUUCUCGCUCCUACGAAGAUUACGAGCCGGACUUUAAGUGGGUUCGGGGAGAAUCCCUCGACACUCUUUUCAUUGUUCUUCCUGGCAAGUAGUAGUCCAUUCUCAUCUUCGACCUUGAUCGGUUUCAUCAUCUUCGUAGAGCUGCAAAGAUUUUUGUAGGUUUGAGCUCUUUGUUCUCUUUCCUCCGUCUGUGUGUGUCACCAUGAGAAAGAGAUGUGGAGGAUAGGAGUUUGUGUGUGAGAGAGAAAGAAAGAGUCCAUCAAUCACAUAUUUCAAUUUUUUUAUUUUAUUUUUAUUUUUUUAAAUGAUCCUCUAAUUAGCUAUUUAUUAAGCUAUCGAAGGGAUAAACAUUUGAUCAUUUAUUUAUUUUCUUUAUUUUUCUUACCGGUUUGAAAUCGAACCGAUAUAUAUAUAUCGUAAUUCCGAUGAAAACAUGAUUUCAGUUCGAGUCGAGUCGAACCAUGAUAAAGAGUUGUUUAAGAAUUUAUCGAAGUUUAGAGAGAGAGAAAAGGGAUUGGAGCUACAUCAGUUACCAUUUCAUGAACACACACAAAAAAAACAGAAAGCAAAGGCAGUCACUUUGGAUCGUAAGGAGGGAAAUGUAGUUGAGAGAUUGAGCUCAUAUUGUUGUCUCGGCGGUGUGUUGAUUUCCCUUUUUCUAUCGAUGAAUGAGACAGGAUGGAUCUGUUUGUACUGAAUGAUCAUUAAUGUCGAAUCUUAGAAUGAGACAAAAUCUAUUAAUCUAUAUAUUUCUAAGACUCUCCUCUCUCCUCUGGCGGAGGAAGUCAUUCUAAAUGCUUAAGCAAGUCAUCUUGACACAGGUUUCAAGAAGAACCACAUCAAGGUGCAAGUCGAGGCUAACGGCUUCUUGACGGUGGCCGGAGAACGACCGCUCGAAGGCAAGCGAUGGCUCCGGUUCUGGCAGGAGUUCGAAAUGCCGGACAACUGUGACGUCGACUCUGUCCGGGCCAAGUUCCAGGGCGAGAAGCUUUACGUCCGCCUCCCGAAACUGAGCACUCCAGCCGACGACGACGACGACGCUCAAACUCCGCCCAAGGUGGCGGCGAUGGAAUCACCACCAGGCAGCGGCCGACACGACACGCCGAGGCCGAAUGAAGGCAGCGUGGUUGACGCAAGAGAAGAGAAGGAGGAGGAGGAAGAGAAGAAGAAGCAACUCAACGGAGAGACAGAAUAUGGAUCGGAUGGCAUGGGGUUGAGCGAGACCAGCAAGAUCACACUGCUGGUGAACGUGGGUGUGGCCGCCCUGUUCUUUUUCUUGCACUGUAUUUGGAUUAUAGAUUGAUGAAGGCACUUUGAUGUCUAAUUUAUCGAACAAUAAUAAUCACAAGGAUUCGUGAAACUUAUUAGUGUAAGAUUGUGAUGCAUGAAAUAAGAACAGCAAUGCUAAUGAUUCGAUAUCGUUGUUUUUCUAUAUCGACUCUGAUACCACUCGACACGAGUAACAUAAAACGUCACUAGACUAGCAAAAUUAAGGUCCUCAUGCAUUGAUAAUUCAUUUUAUUUAUAUUUUGUUUCCAUCCCAUAAUUUAUUCUACUCACUAAGUGAACUCGAGUGUAUUUAAUUCGAUAUUUUAUACGAAUAUCGAAUUCUCGAGGGCUCACGACGAAGAAUAUCUUAUUCUUCCAUGAUGAAGAAUAUCUAUAGAUAUAGAUAAAGAGUGUCGAAUCAUAUAAAACUCUAUCAUCAUUAUUGAUAGAAGAUAAGAUUUCGCCAACUAUAUGAGGAAAUCUCUAGGGAACAUGUUACUGAAUUGAAGCAUUUUCAUUUCUUCAAUAAAGCUUCUUAUCUUAUAUUAUUUUCAUCAUGGUAUCAGAGUAGUGAGAAAAGCGAAGUUUCGCUCUUGCCUUUGGCUAGCGACCAACGUCGCUGAGAAAAGCGAAGCUUCACCCUUGUCUUCGGCCAGCGACCAACGCCGCUAAUUUUCCUCACCGUAGUAGCCUUCGCUGAUCUGCCAAUAGUCGGUGGACUUGAGAACGAAGGGCGGACUUAAGAAGAACGAAGGGAAUGCCUGUGCCCUCACAGCAACAGUAAUCGCAACAAUAGCAGCGAUAUGCUUCCUACUCACGAAGUCUCUCGCUUGUAAACCAUUUUUUGGAUCCAAGAUUGAUAUUCUUAUCAGGAGCACCAUCGAAAUCUCUCUAUUCUGUUGAGGGAAAUCCUCUCUCCUAAUCUGUAUAAAUAGGAGAGGAAACAUGUUAAUGAAUUGAAUGUUAAUGAAUUGAAGCAUUUUCAUUUUUUCAAUAAAGCUUAUUCACUUCUUCAAUAAAGCUUCUUUAAUAAUUGUUCUUAUCUUCUAUUAUUUUCAUCAAAUAUAAAGUCCAAUUUUGAAUUGUUCUCCCCAUAUUAUUAGGUAAGAAAAGAUCACGAAAAGUAAGAAAUGAUCUUUUUCAUUGUCCGUAUUUUGUGUAGCUAACCUCUGUUAUAUGCCUCACAAGAAUUCAGAUUAAAGUUUGAGAAGCAAAUUGUAGGAAGUUUUCAUCUUGUUAUAUAAUAUAAUUAUUGUGUAUAAGGCUACAAUGGACAUUCAAUGCUGAGUGAAGAAGAUGAUUUAGUGCACUGAUUUUGAUGCAUGGAAUGAAUGAUUGACAGGAUUGAUGGAUGGAUCUUUUCCUCAUCAGAAACUACCAAGAAGAAGGCACAGAGAAGUAGGAAAUGAUUGGUCAAAAAGAUGGGAGAGCUCAAUCAUAUCAAUGGCAGUGGUGCAACAGCAUUGGGGAUGGGUGGGUGGAUGGAUAAAGAGGAAGUGGAAACCAAAAGGCUGUGGCCCCCCACCCCCCUCUCCUUCCAAGGAGAGGAAGGAAGAUUGAGCAGAAAAAAGAAAAAGAUUUGAGUAGGAAAAGCUUGGAAAGUUGGGAGUAUCUCUUGAGACUCCAUCAAUGUGGAAGGAAGAACCAAAAAUGCUCGAAGCAAUCAUUCAAAGUCGAUGUGCUUAUGUGCCACAUUAACAAUCAAUCAUUCUUCAGCUCUUGGGUGUCUUUAUCCUCCUCAUACUAUGAAGGGCUUAAAUCACUCAUAAACCCUAAAUCUUGCAGCUGAACAUCCAAGAAACAGUGCAGCUCGAGCUGAGUUUGUGGUUGGGUUUUCGAUGCUUACUUACACAAUGAGAAGGUUUAAGAAAGAUUAAACCGCACAAAGUUAUGCUGUCAUUCUUUGGUUACUUUACUCACACCAGACAAGUUGUAUUGAUGAAGGCUUGGGAGUGGCGUGAGACAAGUUGAUGGAAGAAGAUGGCUGAAGAUUCAAGUAACAGCAACAAGAAAAAGAUGGACUAACAAAUAGCUUGCAUUGCUGAUUACUAAUAUCAAAACUACAGUCUUUGAUUGCAUGUUCUCCUCUCUCUCUCUCUCUCUCUCUCUCUCUCUACUACUACUACNNNNNNNNNNNNNNNNNNNNNNNNNNNNNNNNNNNNNNNNNNNNNNNNNNNNNNNNNNNNNNNNNNNNNNNNNNNNNNNNNNNNNNNNNNNNNNNNNNNNNNNNNNNNNNNNNNNNNNNNNNNNNNNNNNNNNNNNNNNNNNNNNNNNNNNNNNNNNNNNNNNNNNNNNNNNNNNNNNNNNNNNNNNNNNNNNNNNNNNNNNNNNNNNNNNNNNNNNNNNNNNNNNNNNNNNNNNNNNNNNNNNNNNNNNNNNNNNNNNNNNNNNNNNNNNNNNNNNNNNNNNNNNNNNNNNNNNNNNNNNNNNNNNNNNNNNNNNNNNNNNNNNNNNNNNNNNNNNNNNNNNNNNNNNNNNNNNNNNNNNNNNNNNNNNNNNNNNNNNNNNNNNNNNNNNNNNNNNNNNNNNNNNNNNNNNNNNNNNNNNNNNNNNNNNNNNNNNNNNNNNNNNNNNNNNNNNNNNNNNNNNNNNNNNNNNNNNNNNNNNNNNNNNNNNNNNNNNNNNNNNNNNNNNNNNNNNNNNNNNNNNNNNNNNNNNNNNNNNNNNNNNNNNNNNNNNNNNNNNNNNNNNNNNNNNNNNNNNNNNNNNNNNNNNNNNNNNNNNNNNNNNNNNNNNNNNNNNNNNNNNNNNNNNNNNNNUCUCUCUCUCUCUCUCUCUCUCUCUCUCUCUCUCUCACAAAUACACACACACACAGAGGAGAAGGAGACCUAAUGGUUAUUGAUAGAUUUAGCAGAUCAGUGAUUCAUCUGCUGGUACAGUUAUUUGGGAUAAGUAUAAAGUAAUAAUUGAGUGCUUGAUAGAGUCUGACAUAUGGCUUUGCAGAAGAAGCAUGCAAGAAUAACUAUUUGUGUAAGCUGAAACAUACAUACUCAUGUCAGAUGAGUUUAAACAAGCAAUUGAGUGGUUGAUACGUAGAGUCUGACAUACUCCUUUGCAAAAGGAGAGGAGCAAUGUAAGAAUGACUGUUCUUGCACUACAACUGUGACCAAUGACCUCAGAUUACCUACCUACCUUCCUUCCUACCUACCUGCAUGGUCUUGAGAAUUGCUACAAUCAUGUUUAGGUUUUGGUCGGUGAAUCUUUUUUUCCUUUAUCGCUUUGCUUUAUCUCCAAUAGACCAUGGACUACCACCUCCUUGGGGUUGGCCUUUUGUUGCCGUAUGACUUUUCUACCAUUAACACCCAUCAAGGAAUGCUCCUCUAUUGUCUCCUCCUCUGUAUCCCAUGCUUUCCUUCCUCCUGCGACUUUAAUUCUUGUGUGUGUGUGUGUGUGUGUGUUUUGUGUCAGGAACCAACAAAGAAGACCCAUCUACUUCUGUCUUCCCUCUCUCUCCAACCUCACUUGCUGGGUUUGUUUAGGUGUUCUUUCUUCAGAGGGUAGCCUGUAAAAGCUCAGUGUACUCCCUCCCAUAAAGAGCAAACCCCUCACUGGAAGACAAGAUUUUCCCCCAUGACUUUUUAUCUUCCCCCAUUGCUUCUGUCCCAAUGACCUGCCCAUCCUUGCUUUCCUCACUAUAAUACACUUCUCCCCAUUCCCUUCCCCAGCUACCUGCUCUGGACCUCCCUCCUCCUUCUAUACCCCUAACUCUCCUUUGCUUAUUCCCAUCGAUUGGCUACUCGAGAGAGAGAGAGAGAGAGAGGGAGAGAGAGAGAAAGGGAAGUAGAUGUAUGGAAUGAAGCUUGAUUCAAGAUCUUUCCAAAGACUUCCAUGGAUGGUUUCGUAGCAUCUGUUUGAAGAGAUCUCGGACCAGGCUUCAUUCCUCACAUCUUGCUUUCCGGCAUCAAGGAAGUAAGGUGAAGGCUUCAACAGGUGACAUGCAGUCUGCCCACUACUGCUUUGCAUUUGGGUACUCUUCUAAGUCAUUGAUGCAACAUCAACAAUUGCAUCACCAUCAAAUCAACUCCCAAUUAGUCUCUCACUUGCUUUCCAUUUAGCUCCCAUAGCUUCUGAAAUAUCAUCUGUAUUAAGCUUCUGAGCAUAAAUAUUACCCUUCAAAUUUUCAGAAGCAAUAUGAUCUCCCUGCUAGCAAUAUGAUCACAAGUAAUGAGUACGUAGAAGAAAUCUAUCGAUCAUCCAAUUUGCAUCGAGUUUAACCGUCGUUAUAAUCACCAAAUUCUUUUUUUCUUCUUUUCAAUGAUAUUGUUUGUUGAUGUUUCAUUUUCCUUUUAGAUCAUGCAGCAAAAAACACUCACACUUCCAUGCUCAUAAGAUACAAGUGUUGAGGUAUUAGUGUUCAGCUUAGCACACCAUCACCAUUGUUUUAAGCUGCUCCUUUGUUGAACUCACAAAAUGUAGAGGGCAUGUAAUGUUGUGUUACUGAUGAAUCUACUAUAAUGAUUACAUUUUAAUCUGAAACACUAAUCAUCAAUGUGAAGUUAGAUAAUUAGGCCCUGUAAAUUGCAUGGCAAUGUUCUACUUAGUGUCAGACAUGCCAACCUAAACUCACAAAUUAAUUAGGUCAUACAGUUUACUGGCCAUAAUUUCACCAACCAAAUGUAAUAAAUGGCAUGCAGUGCCAAAGAGACAGUAAGCAAUGCAAGUAUCUAUCUAACUGAGAAGGAAGUGUAUGAUCUGGUAGAACAUUUUUGGGUUAGUUUUAGCUGCUACUUCAGUCAGUUCUCCACAACUUUGUAGCUGAUAACACAAACCCUAUCUUUGUGUGUUCUUGAACGUUGUCUACAAGGUACAGACACCAGCAUUGUCAAGUUUAUCUUGGUAGUUCCAUGGUAAUGCUUACUUACAUCCUUCUGAGGCUUCACCUUUUGGUGAGUGGAAGUCUUCUGCCUUUCACUAGCUAUAGCAUUUAUAUUCUUGUUAUUGUUCUUCAUUGAAACAUUUCAGGUAGAUAAUCCUUCAGGAGGAGUAGUACGGUACUCCAUGAUGCUCAAAGUGAUCAGUUGAUGAAAACAGUUUAUGCUUCCCAGGCAGAUGCUUUGAAGGAGAGUAAGGCAUGAUGAACUCAGGGUAGAAGACAGCUUUUGCCGCUUCAGGUUCCUGCAUGAUGAUAACUGGCCAACCAAGUACUGUGUUUGAUGCUCUCUUCUCUGACCUUCUUGUUUCUGGAUCGAGUACUGCAACCUCCGCAGUGGUUUCACAGUUAAAACAUUACCUUCCAAUGCAAAAUCUAUGCUUCCUCUGUGUGUGUGUGUGUGAGAGAGAGAGAGAGAGAGAGUUUAUUUUGUUGUGUGAUCUCCAUGCAGAUCUGGAAUACAAUUAUUUGCCUUUGGUUCUACUGCAUGCAAGAAGAGCCUCUGCUGCAGCUGCUGACAAAAAUAUAUUUGUAUUUCUAUAUUAUAUUUAAAAGAGAUAAACUUAUUUUUAUAGUUAAAAUAUAUAAAAUUUAUUACAUAUAUAUAUAUAUAUUUGUGAAAGUGAGUUUGGUUAUAUAAAUAAUUUAUAAUAUUUGAUGACCAAAAUAUAAAAUUCUUAACUAUAAUGAGUUGACAAGAAAAACAUGUUAAUGGUGAAUUGUAAUGAUAGG